CUGGGCUUGACAUGUAGCUGUAAGCUUCUGGAAACAGAAGCCCCCUUCGAGGAUUGCUACACAGGUGCUGCAUGGCUGCCGUCAGCUCGUGCCGUGAGGUGUACCGUUAAGUCGGGUAACGAGCGCAACCCCUAUCGUAUGUUAAAUGUACAUACGAGACUGCCUUGGCAACGAGGAGGAAGGUGGGGACGACGUCAAGUCAGCAUGGCUCUUACGCCCAGGGCGACACGCAUGAUACAAUGGUCAGUACAAAGGGUAGCCAACCCGCAAGGGGGAGCCAAUCCCACAAAACUGAUCUCAGUUCGGAUUGUAGGCUGCAACUCGCCUGCAUGAAGUUGGAAUCGCUAGUAAUCGCGCAUCAGCCACGGCGCGAUGAAUACGUUCUC
rnacentral:rRNA from 1 species